rnacentral:rRNA from 1 species
AUUGAACGCUGGCGGCAGGCCUAACACAUGCAAGUCGAACGAGUGGCGGACGGGUGAGUAAUGUCUGGGAAACUGCCUGAUGGAGGGGGAUAACUACUGGAACCGGUAGCUAAUCCCGCAUACCAUCAGAUGUGCCCAGAGGGGAUUAGCUUGGUGGUGGGGUAACGGCUAACAAAUGCGACGAUCCCUAGCUGGUCUGAGAGGCUGACCGGCAACACUGGAACUGAGACACGGUCAAGAAUCCUACGGGAGGCAGCAGUGGGGAAUAUUGGACAAUGGGAGCAAGCCUGAUGCAGCAAUGCCGCGUGUAUGAAGAAGGCCUUCGGGUUGUAAAGUACUUUCAGCGGGGAGGAGUUACCCGCAGAAGAAGCACCGGCUAACUCCGGGCAAGCCGCCGAGGUAAUAC